rnacentral:rRNA from 1 species
GAUGAACGUUGGCGGCGUGCCUAAUACAUGCAAGUCGAACGAAGACUGUAGUAAUACUGUCUUAGUGGCGAACGGGUGAGUAACGCGUGGGUGACCUGCCCCGAAGUGUGGGAUAACAGUUCGAAAGAACUGCUAAUACCGCAUAAUAUCCAAGAGAUUAGACGCUUUUGGAUUAAAGGAGUAAUUCGCUUCGGGAGGGGCCCGCGUCCCGUCAGCUAGUUGGUAAGGUAAUGGCUUACCAAGGCGAUGACGGGUAGGGGACCUGAGAGGGUGGCCCCCCACAAUGGAACUGAAACACGGUCCAUACACCUACGGGUGGCAGCAGUAGGGAAUAUUAGUAAUGGGCGAAAGCCUGAACUAGCAACGCCGCGUGUGCGAAGAAGGCCUUCGGGUUGUAAAGCACUUUUUGAGAGGAUGAGGAAGGACGGUACUCUCAGAAUAAGUCUCGGCUAACUACGUG